rnacentral:rRNA from 1 species
GAUGAACGCUGGCGGCGUGCCUAAUACAUGCAAGUCGAGCGAAGCGGGGACGGGUGCGUAACACGUGGAUAACCUCCUAUAAGACUGGGAUAACUUCGGGAAACCGUAGCUAAACCGGAUACUUAUCGAUGUAUCCGCCCUGCAUUAGCUAGUUGGUAAGGUAACGGCUUACCAAGGCAACGAUGCAUAGCCGACCUGAGAGGGUGAUCGGCCACACGGGAAAUGAGACACGGUCCAGACUCCUACGGGAGGCAGCAGUAGGGAAGCUUCCGCAAUGGGCGAAAGCCUGACGGAGCAACGCCGCGUGAGUGAUGAAGGUCUUCGGAUCGUAAAACUCUUUUAUUAGGGAAGCGGUACCUAAUCAGAAAGCCACGGCUAACUACGUGCCAGCAGCCGCGGUAAUAC